rnacentral:rRNA from 1 species
UACGUAGGGGGCUAGCGUUAUCCGGAAUUAUUGGGCGUAAAGAGCGCGCAGGUGGUUGAUUAAGUCUGGUGUGAAAGCCCACGGCUUAACCGUGGAGGGUCAUUGGAAACUGGUCGACUUGAGUGCAGAAGAGGGAAGUGGAAUUCCAUGUGUAGCGGUGAAAUGCGUAGAGAUAUGGAGGAACACCAGUGGCGAAGGCGGCUUCCUGGUCUGUAAACUGACACUGAGGCGCAAAAGCGUGGGGAGCAAACAGGAUUAGAUACCCUGGUA